GACGAACGCUGGCGGCGUGCUUAACACAUGCAAGUCGAACGGAAAGGCCCUGCUUUUGUUGGUUUCUCGAGUGGCGAACGGGUGUGUAACACGUGAGUAACCUCCCCUUGUCUUUGGGAUAACUUCAGGAAACUCGGGCUAUUACCCGAUAUGAUCUCCUGCUGCAUGUUGGGGGUUGGAAAGUUUCGGCUGUUGUGGAUGGACUCGCGGCUUAUCAGCUUGUUGGUGUGGUAGUGGCUUACCAAGGCUAUGACGGGUAGCCGGCCUGAGAGGGGGAACGGGGACAAGAGGACUGAGAGACGGAGCAGAAUCGAACGGGAGGCAGCAGGGGAGAAUAUGACAGAAUGGGCGGAAGCCAGAUGCAGCAACGCUGGGUGCGGGAUGACGGGCUUCGGGUGGUAAACAGAUGUGGACUGAAACGAAGAGGGAGUGACGGUAAUGGGUAAAGAAGCAACGGCUAACUACGUG
rnacentral:rRNA from 1 species